UUGAACAAUUUAGCUGAUCGCACGGUCUAAGAACCGGCGACAUAUCCUUCAAAUGUCUGCCUUAUCAACUUUCGAUGGUAAAUUAUGCGCCUACCAGGGUUGUAACGGGUAACGGAAAAUCAGGGUUUGAUUCCGGAAAGGGAGCCUGAAAAACGGCUACCACAUCCAAGGAAGGCAGCAGGCACGCAAAUUACCCACUCCCGGCACGGGGAGGUAGUGACAAAAAAUAACAAGCUGGUCUCAAUGAGUUCCGGCAUUGUAAUGGGAACAAUUUAAAUCAUUUAUCGAGGAUCUAUUGAAGGGCAAGUCUGGUGCCAGCACCCGCGGUAAUUCCAGCUCCAAUAGCGUAUAUAAAAGUUGUUGCGGUUAAAAAG
rnacentral:rRNA from 1 species